rnacentral:rRNA from 1 species
UANGCUUGCUAGAUUGAUGGCGAGUGGCGAACGGGUGAGUAAUACAUCGGAACGUGCCCUGUAGUGGGGGAUAACUAGUCGAAAGAUUAGCUAAUACCGCAUACGACCUGAGGGUGAAAGUGGGGGACCGCAAGGCCUCAUGCUAUAGGAGCGGCCGAUGUCUGAUUAGCUAGUUGGUGGGGUAAAGGCCCACCAAGGCGACGAUCAGUAGCUGGUCUGAGAGGACGAUCAGCCACACUGGGACUGAGACACGGCCCAGACUCCUACGGGAGGCAGCAGUGGGGAAUUUUGGACAAUGGGCGAAAGCCUGAUCCAGCAAUGCCGCGUGUGUGAAGAAGGCCUUCGGGUUGUAAAGCACUUUUGUCCGGAAAGAAAUGGCUCUGGUUAAUACCUGGGGUCGAUGACGGUACCGGAAGAAUAAGGACCGGCUAACUACGUGCCAGCAGCCGCGGUAAUACGUAGGGUCCAAGCGUUAAUCGGAAUUACUGGGCGUAAAGCGUGCGCAGGCGGUUGUGCAAGACCGAUGUGAAAUCCCCGAGCUUAACUUGGGAAUUGCAUUGGUGACUGCACGGCUAGAGUGUGUCAGAGGGGGGUAGAAUUCCACGUGUAGCAGUGAAAUGCGUAGAGAUGUGGAGGAAUACCGAUGGCGAAGGCAGCCCCCUGGGAUAACACUGACGCUCAUGCACGAAAGCGUGGGGAGC